rnacentral:rRNA from 1 species
UGGCGGACGGGUGAGUAAUGCUUAGGAAUCUGCCUAUUAGUGGGGGACAACAUCUCGAAAGGGAUGCUAAUACCGCAUACGUCCUACGGGAGAAAGCAGGGGACCUUCGGGCCUUGCGCUAAUAGAUGAGCCUAAGUCGGAUUAGCUAGUUGGUGGGGUAAAGGCCUACCAAGGCGACGAUCUGUAGCGGGUCUGAGAGGAUGAUCCGCCACACUGGGACUGAGACACGGCCCAGACUCCUACGGGAGGCAGCAGUGGGGAAUAUUGGACAAUGGGGGGAACCCUGAUCCAGCCAUGCCGCGUGUGUGAAGAAGGCCUUUUGGUUGUAAAGCACUUUAAGCGAGGAGGAGGCUACCGAGAUUAAUACUCUUGGAUAGUGGACGUUACUCGCAGAAUAAGCACCGGCUAACUCUGUGCCAGCAGCCGCGGUAAU